rnacentral:lncRNA from 1 species
GAAGCAAAUUAAAUUAAUGUUAAAUGUCAUGCAGGAAGUGGAAUGAAGUACAAUUUCAGAGAAUGACUAGAGUCAGUGUUUCAGUUGUCAGAGAACUUGUUCAUGCCUCUUUUUAAAUGGAGGAGGGUAGAUAUGAAUUCUGUUUGGUAUUUGUAUUUGAUUGGAUACAUUUAAGAGUAACAUAAUAAUUUUAUUUCUAAAUGUUAAUAUUUAUGACACUGGUAUCAGUCAGGGUUCUCUAGAGGAACAGAAUCAGCAGGAAGUACAAUUAUAAAUGGGGAAUUUACUAGGUUGGCCUAUGCGACCAGAAGCCGGAUAGUCCACAGUGGCCGUCUGCAGGCUGGAGAGCUGGAGGAACUGGUAGCCGCGCAGUCCAAGGGGCUGAAGCCCCAGAACAAGAGAGAUCAACGGUGCUACCCUAGUCUGAGACCAAAGGCUUCUGGAGAAUCAUUGGCAGAAUCAUCUUUGGAAGAAUGAAGAAGCCAGAAUCCAAUAUCCUCAGAUGAUCACAGCAGCAAUCAAGAACCCCUUCAAGAAGAAUCCAGCUUGUAUCUGCUGCUUCCUUGUUCUUCCAACUUUUAUUCCAUCCAAGCCACCAUCCUAUUGGAUGGUGCUUCCUACCCUUAGGGCGGGUCUCCACUUCAGUUGGCUAUCCCACAUGCCAAUCAUUCCUAGAAACACCCUCAUCGAUACACCCAGAAGCCUCUUAAUCAUUGACAUCUCUUCAUCCAAUCAAGUUGACAAUUCAAAUUAACCAUUACAACACAGGAGAAAUUAUAUUUUUGGACAAUUAUUUCAAUUUGUGAUGAAAAUAUUUGGACAUCAACUUAACCCAUUUUGUUUCAUUGACCCAGAUGUGGAAUACCUAUAAAAACUUACAUGUAGUCCACAAUAUAAAACAUAAUUAUAUAACAAUACUAAUAAUUUUAUUAUGAUACAGUGAUUAUAAUAAUAUUACUUAAUAUAAUAAUAAUAUAUACGUCAUAGGUUAUGAUUUCCAAUCUAUUCUAAUGCACCUGUGUUAAUUUCAUUGGAAUCUUGGCAGAAUUGAAAAUGGGGACUUAAUUGUUUAGCAUAUGAUCAUAAUCAUGGUUGCUGGAAAUUCUUUUAGGGAAAAUUUAGACCUCUGAAGUAGACAGCUCUUUAGAAAGUUUAUAGGUAGAUGACAGAAGAGAGAAGCUAGAAGCGUCCUAGGGUGCUGGGAGACUUUUUCAUUUUGGCCAAGAUUUAUGUAUUUAUAAGAUAUAUGUAUUUACAGACUUGAGAAUACUCAUAGGAAAGAACCAGAGUCUCAUAUCUAUACUUGAUUCUUUCAGAUCAUGAGUUCUGAACUCAGGUUUAGAACAUCUCGGCCCUUCCACAUCUAAAAGUCUGAAGCCACCUCCUCAAUAGUGGGACUCACUCUGCCCACCAGGCAUAAGUACCUUCUCACAGGUUAUCUUCAUUUUGGUUUUGAAAAUGCUGAGAAAAAGCUGAUUUGGUGGGAACUUUAAAACUCUGCUCGUUACUGGGUCUCACCUGGAUUCAUGGGACUCCCCAUCCAUCUGUUCCCUUCCAUUUCCCACUUCAAGUUCCCAUCACCUCAUGUCAGCUAGACUGAGGAAGAGGAGGAGAGAAGAAGGCAGAAAUCUCUACUCUUGUCCCUUGAGUGAGAUAAUGGGCCAAAGAAAAACAUAAGUAGGUUCCUCUGGAGUUAAAUUUGAAAGAAGAGUACUUGUGGGUGUUUUUGAAAUAAUUUCAACUAAAAUUUUAAAGAAAUGAGUUUUCUGGCACAAGCUUGGGAGGGAGAAGUCAUAACUACCCUCCUGCAUAAGUUUCUGGCUUGUGGUUUCAGCUUUGUUUCUAGAGAUCAUGCUUAUUACAGAGAAUCUUUUCUACUUAAAUAUUAGCUUUGGG